GUAAGGAAUAUUGGACAAUGGACGCAAGUCUGAUCCAGCCAUGCCGCGUGAAGGAUUAAGGUCCUCUGGAUAGUAAACUUCUUUUAUAAGGGACGAAAAAAGGCUUUUCUAAGUCGUCUGACGGUACCUUAUGAAUAAGCACCGGCUAACUCCGUGCCAGCAGCCGCGGUAAUACGGAGGGUGCAAGCGUUAUCCGGAUUCACUGGGUUUAAAGGGUGCGUAGGCGGACAGGUAAGUCAGUGGUGAAAUCCUAGAGCUUAACUCUAGAACUGCCAUUGAUACUAUCUGUCUUGAAUAUUGUGGAGGUAAGCGGAAUAUGUCAUGUAGCGGUGAAAUGCUUAGAUAUGACAUAGAACACCUAUUGCGAAGGCAGCUUACUACGCAUAUAUUGACGCUGAGGCACGAAAGCGUGGGGAUCAAACAGGAUUAGAAACCCCGGUGUCC
rnacentral:rRNA from 1 species